GAUGAACGCUGGCGGCGUGCCUAAUACAUACAAGUCGAGCGAACAGACGAGGAGCUUGCUCCUCUGACGUUAACGGCGGACGGGUGAGUAACACGUGGAUAACCUACCUAUAAGACUGGGAUAACUUCGGGAAACCGGAGCUAAUACCGGAUAAUAUAUUGAACCGCAUGGUUCAAUAGUGAAAGACGGUUUUGCUGUCACUUAUAGAUGGAUCCGCGCCGCAUUAGCUAGUUGGUAAGGUAACGGCUUACCAAGGCAACGAUGCGUAGCCGACCUGAGAGGGUGAUCGGCCACACUGGAACUGAGACACGGUCCAGACUCCUACGGGAGGCAGCAGUAGGGAAUCUUCCGCAAUGGGCGAAAGCCUGACGGAGCAACGCCGCGUGAGUGAUGAAGGUCUUCGGAUCGUAAAACUCUGUUAUUAGGGAAGAACAAAUGUGUAAGUAACUAUGCACGUCUUGACGGUACCUAAUCAGAAAGCCACGGCUAACUACGUG
rnacentral:rRNA from 1 species